AUCCCAAGCCAUUUCAUGGCAACUCACUUCAACUCCCACACAAGCACAAUACGAGCACAAGGAUUGUUUGGUCAUUCAUUCGAUCAUUCGUCCAACUGCUCAUAGUUUGUUCGUUCGUUCAUCCGAUCAUUCAUCCAAUUGUUGAUGGCAAGUAUUACCUUAUCAAUUCUGGUUAUCCUAACAGAGAGGGGUACCUCGCAUCUUAGAUGGAACAGAAGUAUCAUAUAUCAGAAUGGCAGAACGGAAGAUAUCUCGCAGGUGCAAAAGGGGUAUUCAACUACGCACAUUUAUCACUAACAAAUGGUAGAGCGAUCAUUCGGUGUCUAGAAGAUGUAGUAGUGUAUACUGCUGAGUCUACCUUAAUUUUCAAUGCACAAGCAAAUCAAAGAUAAUUAUAAUAUGUAUGAAUUUGCAUAACUUUAUUAGGAAUAGUGACAUACAUGCAUGACCGAGACUUUG